rnacentral:rRNA from 1 species
UACGGAGGGUGCGAGCGUUGUCCGGAAUCACUGGGCGUAAAGGGCGCGUAGGCGGCCUGAUAAGUAGGGGGUGAAAUCCUGCGGCUUAACCGCAGGGCUGCCUUCUAAACUGUCAGGCUAGAGCACAGUAGAGGCAGGUGGAAUUCCCGGUGUAGCGGUGAAAUGCGCAGAUAUCGGGAAGAACACCCGUGGCGAAGGCGGCUCUCUGGGACGGUACUGACGCUGAGACGCGAAAGCGUGGGGAGCGAACAGG